ensembl:lncRNA
CGUAGCCACCAGAUCCAGUCUGUAUCCAGCCCAGAUGGUGGAUCAGCACCUAGAAACGACCUCUACAGCCCUGAAAGACAGCAGAGACCAGGACAACUAGAGCCCCAGAUACAGAUCCCCUGUAAAGACCUUGUCUCAGACGACCACCGGGACAAGACCACAGGAAACAGAUGAUUCUUCUGCACAAUGUGACUUUGCUGCAGCCUGGAACUGAACUUCUGGUUUCGUCUGGCCAGAGGAGAACUGGCCCCCGACUGAGCCUGGUUUCUCCCAAGGUUUUUUUCUCCAUUCUGUCACUGAUGGAGUUUUGGUUCCUUGCCGCUGUCGCCUCUGGCUUGCUUAGUUGGGGACACUUCAUUUACAGCGAUAUCAUUGACUUGAUUGCAAAUGAUUGCACAGAUACUAUUUAAACUCAACUGAGCUGCAUGAUGACAUCACUGAAUUCAAUGAUGAACUGCCUUUAACUGUCAUUUUGCAUUAUUGACACACUGUUUUCCUAAUUAAUGUUGUUCAGUUGCUUUGACGCAAUCUUUUUUGUUUAAAGCGCUAUAUAAAUAAAGAUGACUUGACUUGACUACAGGAGGGUGGUAAAGCGGAGGCGGAACAGGGGGAGGGACGGAGGGUCAGGUCCAUGAGGGGAUGGAGAGAUGGGAUUGAACCAGCCGCCCAACAGGGCGAAGCAGACAAGGCAGACGGCCACCAGGGCGGAUCGGGCGGCGACUCGGACGCCCCCAGGACGGAUCAGGCAGAACAGAGACCCCGGGUAGUAACCGGAACCUAAGAGAGGGUGAGAUACAAAAAGACAGGCAGAGUGGACGGCCCUGGAACCCUCCUGGGUGGAGCAGACAGAGUGGAUGGGUAGACUGAACUGGCUAGGACAGCAUGCUUGGGACUGGAGCCUGGAAGAAGCAGAGACAGACAACAUAGACAGAGGAUUCAUGGCCCCAAGGACCGAGACUUGAAUGGAUGAAGAUUCAUAGGCGGCCUCCUUAGCCGUGACAGGACAGGGCGAGAGUUCAUUAACGGCUUCCAUAGCCGUGACUUGGCAAGAUGAGAGUUCAGAAAUGGCCUCCAUAGCCGUGACUGGGCAGGACGAGGAUUCAUGAGCGGCAUCCAUAGCCGUGACUGGGCAGGACGAGAGUUUUAUUUUUAUUUAUUUAUUAAUUUUUUAUAUGUAUUUAUUUAUUCCCACGUGUAUUUAUUUCCAGAUUUAUUUAUUUAUUUAUUUAUUUUUACUUUUCCGUGUGCAACAUGAAAAUGAGGAGGGCGGUCCUUGUGGAUUGCUGGUGAAUCAUUGGUUGAGAGCUCACGCAGAUAAGUCAGAUUAAACGAAUAAUAGAGAUCGGAGUUUGAGAGUGGGAUGUGCCAGAACAACUGGAGAGAUCCAAUGUAUUUUCACAGAUUCCAAUUUAUUAUGUUUAAUUAUUUAAUAGUGACUGAAUUCAGUUACUUAUCCUCACAGUUACUGCUCAUAGUGACUGCUGUUUCAAAGUCAAAUAUAUAUAUAUGUGUGUGUGUGUGUGUGUGUGUGUGUGUGUGUGUGUGUGUGUGUGUGUGUGUGUGUGUGUGUGUGUGUGUGUGUGUGUGUGUGUAUUUUUUUUAUUUAUUUUUUUUGGCACACUCUGUAAAUUUGAUCUUUUUGUUUCAUUUAUUCAUUCAAAAAAUCUAAACUUUCAAAAAGUAAAACAAAUGAAAGUAGACCAAGAGUCACAUUAUGAAAUAACUUUUUCUAAUACACGUUGGCCACAAUUAUUGGUACCCCUAAAAAUUA